GAUGAACGCUGGCGGCGUGCCUAAUACAUGCAAGUCGAGCGAACAGACGAGGAGCUUGCUCCUCUGACGUUAGCGGCGGACGGGUGAGUAACACGUGGAUAACCUACCUAUAAGACUGGGAUAACUUCGGGAAACCGGAGCUAAUACCGGAUAAUAUAUUGAACCGCAUGGUUCAAUAGUGAAAGACGGUUUUGCUGUCACUUAUAGAUGGAUCCGCGCCGCAUUAGCUAGUUGGUAAGGUAACGGAUUACCAAGGCAACGAUGCGUAGCCGACCUGAGAGGGUGAUAGGCCACACUGGAACUGAGACACGGUCCAGACUCCUACGGGAGGCAGCAGUAGGGAAUCUUCCGCAAUGGGCGAAAGCCUGACGGAGCAACGCCGCGUGAGUGAUGAAGGUCUUCGGAUCGUAAAACUCUGUUAUUAGGGAAGAACAAAUGUGUAAGUAACUAUGCACGUCUUGACGGUACCUAAUCAGAAAGCCACGGCUAACUACGUG
rnacentral:rRNA from 1 species